rnacentral:siRNA from 1 species
UACAAAUUGGCCCGACUCAUC